rnacentral:lncRNA from 1 species
AAAUAUUUUAAAAAUUGCCUUCAUAGCUUUAACUGCAAGUGAGACAUUAACGUUUAACAAAUCAUGUUUUAUUGCAGUUUUUCAGGUUGCUAUGGUGGCAUUGCAUAGAUGACAGACCAUCCAUGAUUCAUACACAACAUCGACUGACGUGGUUUCAGAUUUGGAGCAGGAAGGGUGACCGUGUGUACAUACAGAUCAUGGACUAAGAUGUUGUCAGAUCUGCAGCAUAAAUGGGUUAUCACGGAAACGUACCUCUACAUCUAGGCAAUGGUAUAAUGGAUGGCCGAUGUUCAGGUGU